UGACAAAUAGAUGCCAUUUUUUCUCCUUUUGAUCACCGCACGUUUAGUAUUGUUUCCUUGUUCUGAUUUAGUUUUGUUGAAAUUGAGGUGGGCUGUGGGCAUAUUUAUAGCGUAGCAUUCAUAAUUGGUGGCCAUUGGUUGGUGAUAAUUGACUUUUAUUCUAGCAGCCAGCCAAUAAACUAAUAAUUAAUUAGUUCGAAAGUUGAUUGCUUUGGCAGAGAUAAGGAUAACAAGGAUGCAAGCAUGUUUUCGUAUGAACAUAUAGCCUAGAGUUUCGUAGACAUCACGUUUAUCUUCUUCUUCUUCUUCUCUUUUUGUUAAUAAGUGGGGGUUUCAUUAUUCUAAGUACGAUCUUCAUCCACAGACAGGUAACAUAUAUUCUUUCACAUUGAUAUCAUGCCAUUUGUACAUGUGAAGAAUGCAGUCAUCAUUAUUCUAAUUUGGGUCAAUAACUUCGGAUAGAAUUUGAAGAAACGAAAAUGGCGAACACAGUUGGCAUGAUCUUGAAUUCAGCCACGUGUCUUUGAUCGUGUGAGUGCUGGGGGUCAAAUAUAUUGAAGUUGAGCCCUGAUAUUAGUUUUUCAUCCAAGAUUUUCAGCUUAGGGUUUCGUAAUACAUCAGUACAAUGAGGCAUAUGUGAAUAAUAUGCAUCAAAUAAAUCUUUCUAACAUGUACAUUAGUCAAAUAAGAACAUUUUCAAACAAAUCAAGCUUGCGUGAAUGCGAAACUAGAUAUAUAUAUAUAUAUGUUCGUACGCAAACACAUGCUACAGUUAACAAUGACCAACCAAUAGCUACCACUCGCUGCACUAUAAAUAACCAUCUCGACUUCAACAAAAUCAUAUCUCAAACACAAGGAAACAUUAUAUACAAAAGAGUGUAGAGAGGGGGGAAAAUGUCAUCUGAUACUACAUGCCAAGGUAAGAGUUCAUGGCCAGAGCUUCUUGGAGCAGAGGGGAAGGUCGCUGCUGCGACGAUUGAGAGAGAAAAUCCUCUUGUGGAAGCUAUAAUUGUGCCGGAAGGAUCAAUGGUCAUUCUGGACUUUCGCUGUGAUAGGGUUUGGGUUUGGG